rnacentral:tRNA from 1 species
GCUGAUGUGUCCGAGUGGUUAAGGAGAUGGACUUGAAAUCCAUUGGGUUCUACCCGCACAGGUUCGAAUCCUGUCGGCAGCG